UCCUCCAGUCUCCCGAAAUUGGCGCAGAAACAGCAGCAGAGAAGAAACACAAAGCGACGUUCUCUUUCUGCGUUCCACUAAUUGAAUUCCUUCGCUUCACUUUCUUCCUUUCUUUCUUCGCACUAGUAUUAAAAAAAACGCAGAGCGCAGACUAAUAGCAUCGUUCUUUGAAUCGGGUUGCCGAGGACCCGACCCGGAUCCAUGGGGUGCGUGAGCUCGAAGCAAGCGGUGUCAGUGACGCCGGCGAUUGACCACUACGGCGCCUUCCGGAGCAAUGCGGGUGGUCCGUGCGAGCCGGAGAAGAAGAGGACCGAGUCUGGAGGAGGACCGAGUCAGAGCGAGGUAGGUGAGUCUGGCAGAACGAGUUCGAAUUGCGAGUCGCUGAGCUUCAGGCUGGGGAACCUCCAGAAGUACGUGCAGGGCGAACACGUUGCAGCCGGCUGGCCCGCCUGGCUCAGCGCCGUCGCCGGCGAAGCCAUUCAAGGCUGGGUCCCCCUCCGCGCCGACGCCUUCGAAAAACUCGAGAAGAUAGGGCAGGGGACGUACAGUAGUGUGUUUAGGGCGAGGGAGCUUGAGACGAGGAAGAUAGUGGCAUUGAAGAAGGUGCGGUUCGACAAUUUCGAACCGGAGAGUGUGCGGUUCAUGGCGCGUGAGAUACUGAUCCUGCGACGGCUUGAUCACCCCAAUAUCAUAAAGCUUGAGGGUUUGAUUACUUCGAGGUUGUCGUGUAGCAUAUACCUCGUGUUUGAGUACAUGGAGCAUGACAUUACAGGGCUCUUGUCUUCACCUGAUAUCAAGUUCACUGAACCGCAGAUUAAGUGCUACAUGAAACAGUUGUUGGCUGGUCUUGAGCACUGUCACUUGCGAGGAGUGAUGCAUAGGGACAUUAAGGGGUCGAAUCUUUUGGUGAAUAAUGAAGGGGUUUUGAAGGUGGCAGAUUUUGGGUUGGCAAAUUAUGUCAAUUCUGGGCACAGGCAACCUCUGACGAGUCGUGUUGUCACCUUGUGGUACCGGCCGCCAGAGCUUUUGCUCGGUUCGACAGAUUAUGAUCCGUCUGUGGAUCUUUGGAGUGUUGGCUGUGUGUUUGCGGAGCUGCUUGUUGGGAAGCCUAUACUUCAGGGGAGAACAGAGGUUGAACAACUGCACAAAAUUUUCAAGCUCUGUGGCUCCCCACCUGACGAAUACUGGAAAAAGUCUAAACUUCCUCAUGCAACUUUAUUUAAGCCAGAGCAACCAUAUGAUAGUUGCCUUCGACAGUCCUUUAAAGAUUUGCCAGCGACCAGUGUACAUCUGCUACAAACUCUUCUUUCUGUUGAACCAUACAAACGUGGAACUGCAACAUCUGCUCUAUCAUCAGAGUAUUUCAAAACAAAACCUUAUGCAUGUGACCCAUCAAGCUUGCCAGUAUACCCACCUAGCAAGGAAAUCGAUGCAAAACACAGGGAUGAAUCAAGGAAAAAGAUUAGUGGACGAGUUCGAGGAACUGCAACAAGAAAACAGUCAAGAAAGCCUCUGGGAUUCAAUAAACUAGCCCCAGCAGAGGGUUUGGCAAGUCAAACUCAGACUUCCCAGAAGGUCAAUGGUAGAUAUUUCCACAUCCUUGAAGAAGAGAAGAUUAAAAUAGGUGACAAAGCACAAAAGUCAUCCAGUGGUAAACCUGAAGAUGCUUUCCAUAUGAAGAAUGCAUCGCAAGGAGAUAUUCCCCUUUCUGGACCAUUACAAGUUUCAACAUCAAGUGGCUUUGCAUGGGCAAAAAGCCGUAAAGAUGACACUUCAUUUCGAUCCCAUUGUCGAACUAUUUCAAGAGGACAUAUUUUCAAUGCAUUAGAACCUUCUACAUUAAAUACAAGAAAUAAUUUGGACACCACAAACCAGGAAAAUAAGGAGUUUUGUGGGAGAUACCCCAAUUCUAGGGGCCAUGACCUACUUGAAAUUUCUAAGCUUUCAAUGCAGAACCAGUGGAGUAAGUUUGAUCGCCCAGACUCAUUUGAUGCUUCAGAUGAGUACCACUCACAAGAAUUGUCUACGGCCCUUUAUCACAGAGAAGAUUCAGUAUCCAAGAGAAGUAACCUGACUUUUCAAGAUCAAGGAGAAAAGGUUGAAUUUUCUGGACCCCUACUAUCUCAAAUGCACACAGUUGAUGAGCUCUUGGAAAGGCACGAGCGCCACAUCCGGCGAACUGUCCGGAGAUCAUGGUUUCAGAGAGGUAAGAAGCUAGGGAAGUAAAUCAAAAUGAUACUAGAAGUCCUUCUGGGAAGGCCAUCUUCUUUCCCCAAGCACAUCGCUACAAGCAGAGAAUGAACAUCAGACUUAUACAAUGACACACUGUCUAGCAGCAUGAUCUGUCAUAUAGAAGCUAGGAAACUCAACGAUUUGAGGAGAACACUUCCAGCUUUCAAUUUACAGAAAUUUGAUGACCAAUGCAGAGAAAAGAAUAAAGGUUCAUACAAAGAGGAGAAACGCUUGCAUCAAAAGAAGAUAAAUGACUUAGUUUAUGUGAUGUACAACUUGAAACUGAAAAAUAGACAAAUUAGAAAAAUUGUUGCUCGAUCUUUCAUUUGAAGAUAUGAAAUCUGAUGCUGUGUGGAUAACAGAAGAGGAAGAUGAUAUUUUUUAUGAAGACAAUGUCCAAGUUAAGCAACCUCUUGGUGAAAGAGGUAGUUGAAACAAUAUUGACUUGGUUAAAGGAAGUUUAACUGAUCCAACUUUGGAUACAUUUGAUAUUGACAGUUUAGUUUUGAAUGACAAUGUUGACGAUCACUUCUCAACUGAAGAAUAACUUGAAGAUGAUGGCGGUGAUGGUGAUAUUGGAGAUGAUUUAAUUAGAGGAUUGAUGGACACAUGAACUAUUUCUAUGUUUUUUAAAUGUUUUUAUUUUAAGAACUUAUAUGUUUUGUAUUGUAUGAAUUUAUAUUUGAUUGGGUGUGAACUAUGUUAGUUUAUUGAAUUCUUGUUAAAGUUUGUUAUUUUGAUUUA